rnacentral:rRNA from 1 species
UGUGCGAUCAUACCAGCACUAAUGCACCGGAUCC